GAUGAACGCUGGCGGCGUGCUUAACACAUGCAAGUCGAACGAAGCAUUUGGAAGUUUUCGGACGGAAAAUGACUUAGUGGCGGACGGGUGAGUAACGCGUGGGUAACCUGCCUUAUACAGGGGGAUAACAGUUGGAAACGACUGCUAAUACCGCAUAACCCGAUAGUACCGCAUGGUACAGACGGAAAAGAUUUAUCGGUAUAAGAUGGACCCGCGUCUGAUUAGCUAGUUGGUGAGGUAAUGGCCCACCAAGGCGACGAUCAGUAGCCGGCUUGAGAGAGUGAACGGCCACAUUGGGACUGAGACACGGCCCAAACUCCUACGGGUGGCAG
rnacentral:rRNA from 1 species